rnacentral:rRNA from 1 species
UACGUAGGGGGCAAGCGUUGUCCGGAUUUAUUGGGCGUAAAGAGCGUGUAGGCGGCUUUACAGGUCCGUUGUGAAAACUCGAGGCUCAACCUCGAGACGCCGGUGGAAACCGUAAGGCUAGAGUCCGGAAGAGGAGAGUGGAAUUCCUGGUGUAGCGGUGAAAUGCGCAGAUAUCAGGAGGAACACCCGUGGCGAAAGCGGCUCUCUGGGACGGUACUGACGCUGAGACGCGAAAAGCGUGGGGAGCGAACAGG